rnacentral:tRNA from 1 species
GGAGAGGUGGCCGAGUGGCUGAAGGCAACGGUUUGCUAAACCGUCGUGGGGUGUAAAGCUUCACCGCGAGUUCGAAUCUCGCCCUCUCCGCAA